GUCGGAAUGACCUGCAGAACUGAGUCCUUAGUUUGCAAACAUAAGUGAUGACUUCGGGUCAGCAACGACUGAGGAUUUCACCUGGCGGGCAGCAAACUUCAGUUCAUAAGAAGAAAUUUCAAAGGUGAGCUUCAUGACGCUUUGAACAAGGAGGAAAACACUGGAGCUUUCCAUCAAAGCUGUGAGCCAAGCCAGCUUCCCAUCUGUGUGCUCUGCUCUACUUGAGAGGUCACGUCCAUGUGCCAUUAUUAAGGAUGGAUGAUGGAGUAAUGCCAAGGUACCUCUGAGAGACGAAGGUCAAGAAAUGGGCUCCUCGCCAGGCCACGG